rnacentral:rRNA from 1 species
UACGUAGGGGGCGAGCGUUGUUCGGAAUUACUGGGCGUAAAGCGCGCGCAGGCGGUCUUCCAAGUCAGUGGUGAAAGCCUGGAGCUCAACUCCAGAACUGCCAUUGAAACUGUUGGACUUGAGUACGAGAGAGGUGAGUGGAAUUCCCAGUGUAGAGGUGAAAUUCGUAGAUAUUGGGAAGAACACCAGUGGCGAAGGCGGCUCACUGGCUCGUAACUGACGCUCAGGCGCGACAGCGUGGGGAUCAAACAGG